rnacentral:misc_RNA from 1 species
GAUGAAGAACGUAGCGAAAUGCGAUACGUAAUGUGAAUUGCAGAAUUCAGUGAAUCAUCGAAUCUUUGAACGCAUAUUGCGCUCUCUGGUAUUCCGGAGAGCAUGCUUGUUUGAGUAUCAGUAAACACCUCAACUUCCAUAUCUUUUUUGAAAUGGGAGUUGGACUUGAGUGAUCCCAACGCUUUUCCUCACCGAAAAGUGGCGGGUUACUUGAAAUGCAGGUGCAGCUGGACUUUUCUCUGAGCUAUAAGCAUAUCUAUUUAGUCUGCCUAAAAAACAGAUUAUUACCUUUGCUGCAGCUAACAUAAAGGAGAUUAGUUCUUGUGCUGACUGAUGCAGGAUUCACAAAGACGGCUUCGGCCGACUUUGUAAACUCGAUCUCAAAUCAAGUAAGAAUACCCGCUGAACUUAAGCAUAUCAAUAAGCGGAGGA